AGAGUUUGAUCAUGGCUCAGGACGAACGCUGGCGGCGUGCCUAAUACAUGCAAGUCGAGCGAGAAAGGGGCUUCGGCUCCGAGUAGAGCGGCGCACGGGUGCGUAACACGUGGGUAAUCUUCCUCCGGGUUGGGAAUAACUCUUCGAAAGGAGAGCUAAUACCGAAUAAGCCCACGGUUCCUUCGGGGACUGAGGGAAAA
rnacentral:rRNA from 1 species